UACGUAGGGUGCAAGCGUUAUCCGGAAUUAUUGGGCGUAAAGAGCUCGUAGGCGGUUUGUCGCGUCUGCUGUGAAAACCCGGGGCUCAACCCCGGGCCUGCAGUCGAUACGGGCAGACUAGAGUGCGGUAGGGGAGACUGGAAUUCCUGGUGUAGCGGUGAAAUGCGCAGAUAUCAGGAGGAACACCGGUGGCGAAGGCGGGUCUCUGGGCCGAUACUGACGCUGAGGAGCGAAAGCAUGGGUAGCGAACAGG
rnacentral:rRNA from 1 species